rnacentral:rRNA from 1 species
CCACGGAGACGCCGGUCGGUGGCCCUGCUGCAGCUGUCGGUUUCCUUCCCAAGAACUCCACGAGGAAGAGGUGGCCGUCUCUCCAUGGGGGAAGAACCCACCAUGAGCACACGGACGAGACUGGGAUGGUACCUUCCUAAGCAAACCAUGUUGUGGUACUGGCUACGUCUGUUGUUCCGGAAGUUACUCGGUCCAUGGAACCACGAUGACGAAGGCACGCUACCGUCGUCCCCAACAACAAGCCGUAGCCGACGUUUUUGUCGGUACCGGAGUGAACCAGACCAAGUCCCCUCCCACCACGGGUACCACACCGGCGUAACGUUCUACCCGGCGUAGUUGUUCUCCCACGGGAUUCCUUCUCAGUAUACCAGUAAAACCACUGACUCCUACGACCUGUUCUAGAGUAGUGGGUUUCGUACUUAAACACCUGGAACCGUAUAUAAGGAACCAAGUCCCCGAGCGACUGGUGUUCCUGGUUGAACCUCGAGGAGAGACGGGAACGUCCGUAGUGCUGUUGUUCCGGCGACUCCGCUUCGUACCCAAAACCGUGAUGGAUACACAAGGGUACGCUCUUACACUAGUUACUCGUUGGGACAGUUCAACCGGUUUAUUCGUUAGGUACCUACCUAAGAUCGUUAACUAAGUAGGUAGGUAGGUAGAGAUUCCCUUCUUCGUCUUCUUAGUUUCUUCUACCGUUAGAGAUACUCGUCGGACAGUGACUAUAGCCUCCCUACUCCCGUUGCGACCGCCUCGGUUACCCCUAGUACAACGGAUGCCAAGGAGGAGGAUACUGUGGCGUCGGCGACGUUGAACGUGUACACGACCGAUUCUAGGAAGCGAUCCAUAUGGUUGAGUCCUGACGUUCCGUUUAGUGUUAGGUAGUCUGAUGUUGUUGGGAGUAUCGUCUACGUCGAUCGUUUCUACUCUAGGUCCGCUCCCAAGGUGUCGAUUUCUUCAUCGAGAAACUUUGAUUAACGCAUAUACUAAUACUCAUCAACCAACUCUCUCAACGUUUUGAAAGACCACCACACCGGUAGUAGUUCCAACCUCGCUGUUGGCCCGGUCUCGAACUCCUGGCCGUUUACGCCUAGCUCCUGCGCAUCUUAAGGUGGAGAUGCCGGUAGGUCCUCCCGUAACAAAAGCUAUCACCGAACUGAAUACACUUGCACAGAUGGAUACAGGGAUACUAGUUUAUUUGUUAGCUUCUGGUACUACCAACGGAACUACGACUGUAGUAAGACUUCCAUGGAACUACUAAGGUAGCGACCACCACUAGUUCAUCUAUGGACUAUUCCAAGACGGGUAGAUUCCUUCUUCACCUCGACGGGUUUGGAGUUUCCAAUAUGUACGUUGUUCCUCUUAGAUCCUUUAACCGUUGCCCACGUGUUCUAAGCGGAGGACGGGACGAGAAGGCCACCGACUAAGAAGAAGCUGAGACAGCAUCCGCAGUUCAGAGAGGAGACGAGGGAGUACGGACACACGGGUACCGGUAGCUCAACACGGUUCAGCUAACCCUACGGACGUAACUCGGUGAGUAAUACGACUAGUCGUCGUAGAUCGUAUUGACACACGGUGCGUUCUUCUACGUACACCUCGUAAGACACCUGUCACCCUUGAACGACCGGGGGUGUAUGGAGGAACUGGUACCACGACUAUAGUCAGUCCUUCCCCUUCUUCCCCGGUGACAAGGGUCGACGUUUUUACACUACUCGUUACACCACUUCGUUGUUGGGUUGAGGUUCCACCCCGCGCGGGAUACUAUCGCUUUACUACCGUUUCCACUUACCCAGGACCACUUGUAGGGUACUAACUACGACGAAACUCCUCGUACCACGACAGACCGUGUUCAAACCGGUCGCUUCGUCAAAACGGACGAGGCUCCUAGUGAGGCUGCGGAGGGCAAGACGGGGAGGUCACCAACGAAGGAGAAGCCAAGGUCGUAUCGGGGACGAUGUUGAAAAACUCCAGGGAGUAGUGGUUGACAGCUUCUGUAUACCGCGGGGACCUACGUCAACUAGGUUGGUAGGCAGAGGUUCUCCUUCUGCACCUUCUUACUUUCUUCUACCGCUAGAGAUACUCGACUACAUCAACUAGGUAACUAGGUAGGUGUUGAUAAGUAGCCUCCUCUUCCUGGAGAAGAGAAGUAGUUGUAGUUCUCGUUGGUGCUGGGUCGUGAGUUUGUGUCCUCGUUGACCAACCUACGGCCUUCUUCGUUUCUAUAGUGACGACUUCGUCGUGGAAGUUUCUAGGUCUUCUCUGCCGGAAUCUUCUGAUAACUAGUGACGAAACCUUCGUCAAGGGGUUCGCGACCUGAUAGUAGCAGGAGACGAACGAAGAAGAGGAAGGACGAGACGUUGUACCUGGAACAACCAGGACCGCAAGUGGGAACCGCACGUACAUCUGGAUACUUAGAGCAGCCACGCUGAACCACCGGCGGGAGCACCAGAGGCCGCUACCAACAACCCGCGGUACGCACGUUCCAACUUCCGAACCAAACCACGUGCAGCGGAGAUGAUGCUGCGGAAUCGCGCCGCAACGAAACGCCGGAACCGACAACGCUGCUCAUGUUUCACCAACCACGUCACCGAUGCCUAUUCUAGUUUUAGGACCCUCGUGAUGAAACAGCGGUGGGUCCUAAGACUAGAGUCCCACUCCGAUGCCCUCCAUACUUCUUACCGGUACGAAAAUAUAAGUUGUGUUCCUUCCAAACAGAACCAGAACCACACUGGUAAGUAAGUUGGACUUCUUACUGUUGUGUACCUUGCUGGUUGACACUCUUCACCUUCGAAUAAAUCAAACACCACCGCAACCCAAUCGAACAAUCGACACAAACCGAAAACAACUCCUUUACUAAACCAACCUACUACUAUACCCUGGAAAGUAGGUCAGGUCACAUUACUGAACUGAACCCUCACGUACUUACUUAAAACGUUGCUUCCUACGCCACUAAAACUAAGAGGCGGUUGCGCAAUACGACGACUUAAACCUGCUGAACAGGUUUAAAACCGGAACAAACAUUGGUUUCUUUUUGAAAACCCAGAAGACGAAGUUUUAAAACCGGAACUAACAUUGUUUUGGUUUUAAAACCGGAACAGUCAUUACUUUUUCUGCGACUUUACCGAGCGAACG